rnacentral:tRNA from 1 species
GACUCUGUGGUGAAAUUCAUGGUGAGUUGCAAGCUCAUCGAUGUGCGCUAAGAGCGUACCAGGGUCU